CAUUACAGAGUUCAUGCCCUCACGGGUAGAUCUCCCACCCUAUGUUAUUACAACGAUGUUGCUUUGGCAGGCCGCCUCUCGAGGCUACCGGCUCCGGCUGGUGCGCGCCUGCCAGAGAACCCCAAACUCUGAAAUUAGUGUUGUCUGAGUACUAUAUAAUAGUUAAAACUUUCAACAACGGAUCUCUUGGUUCUGGCAUCGAUGAAGAACGCAGCGAAAUGCGAUAAGUAAUGUGAAUUGCAGAAUUCAGUGAAUCAUCGAAUCUUUGAACGCACAUUGCGCCCCUUGGUAUUCCGGGGGGCAUGCCUGUUCGAGCGUCACUACAACCUUCAAGCUCUGCUUGGUAUUGGGCCACGCCAGCGAUGGCGAGCCUUAAAAUCAGUGGCGGUGCCGCUGGGCUCUGAGCGUAGUAACUACUCCUCGCUACUGGGUCCCGGUGGAUGCUUGCCAUCAACCCCCAAUUUUUCUAUGGUUGACCUCGGAUCAGGUAGGGAUACCCGCUGAACUUAA
rnacentral:rRNA from 1 species